rnacentral:rRNA from 1 species
UUUAAAGCUCGUUAGUUGACCUUGGGCCUGGCUGGCCGGUCCGCCUCACCUCUGUGUACUGGUCCGGCCGGGCCUUUCCUUCUGGGGAACCUCNUGCCCUUCACUGGGCGUGCUGGGGAACCAGGACUUUUACUUUGAAAAAAUUAGAGUGUUCAAAGCAGGCCUUUGCUCGAAUACAUUAGCAUGGAAUAAUAGAAUAGGACGUGUGGUUCUAUUUUGUUGGUUUCUAGGACCGCCGUAAUGAUUAAUAGGGAUAGUCGGGGGCAUCAGUAUUCAAGCGUCAGAGGUGAAAUUCUUGGAUUGCUUGAAGACUAACUACUGCGAAAGCAUUUGCCAAGGAUGUUUUCAUUAAUCAGUGAACGAAAGUUAGGGGAUCUAAGACGAUCANAUACCGCCGUAUUCUUAACCNUAAACUAUGCCGACUAGGGAUCGGACGGNGUUAGUAUUUUGACCCUUUCGGCCCCUUACGAAAAA